AUCAAGCUGACGAGUUCAACAUAGGACGAAACCUGUAUCCUGGAU
rnacentral:hammerhead_ribozyme from 1 species